rnacentral:rRNA from 1 species
AGCGAACGCUGGCGGCAGGCCUAACACAUGCAAGUCGAACGGAUCCUUCGGGAUUAGUGGCGGACGGGUGAGUAACACGUGGGAACGUGCCCUUUGGUUCGGAGCAACUCAGGGAAACUUGAGCUAAUACCGGAUGUGCCCUUCGGGGGAAAGAUUUAUCGCCAUUGGAGCGGCCCGCGUCUGAUUAGCUAGUUGGUGAGGUAACGGCCCACCAAGGCGACGAUCAGUAGCUGGUCUGAGAGGAUGAUCAGCCACACUGGGACUGAGACACGGCCCAGACUCCUACGGGAGGCAGCAGUGGGGAAUCUUGCGCAAUGGGCGAAAGCCUGACGCAGCCAUGCCGCGUGAAUGAUGAAGGUCUUAGGAUUGUAAAAUUCUUUCAGCGGGGACGAUAAUGACGGUACCCGCAGAAGAAGCUCCGGCUAACUUCGUG